UGCAUAUUGCCAUAUCUGAUCAGAAGGCAGUGCAAGAAGCAAUAUCACAGUGUACAACCAUCCCUGUGCCUAAUCUUGGCCCGAACGAAAAUUUUGAGAAUGAUUCAUUGGUACAGCUUGGAGAAGAGAGGAGACUUAUAUUAGGAAAAGUUACAAA